rnacentral:rRNA from 1 species
GGGGAUUAGCCCUUAAGCUUCAUUGAUUUUAGCGGAACGCUCUGGAAAGUGCGGCCAUAGUGGGUGAUAGCCCCGUACGCGAAAGGAUCUUUGAAGUGAAAUCGAGUAGGACGGAGCACGAGAAACUUUGUCUGAACAUGGGGGGACCAUCCUCCAAGGCUAAAUACUACUGACUGACCGAUAGUGAACCAGUACCGUGAGGGAAAGGCGAAAAGAACCCCGGAGAGGGGAGUGAAAUAGAACCUGAAACCGUAUGCGUACAAGCAGUGGGAGCCUACUUGUUAGGUGACUGCGUACCUUUUGUAUAAUGGGUCAGCGACUUAUAUUCAGUGGCAAGCUUAACCGUAUAGGGUAGGCGUAGCGAAAGCGAGUCUUAAUAGGGCGUUUAGUCGCUGGGUAUAGACCCGAAACCGGGCGAUCUAUCCAUGAGCAGGUUGAAGGUUAGGUAACACUGACUGGAGGACCGAACCCACUCCCGUUGAAAAGGUAGGGGAUGACUUGUGGAUCGGAGUGAAAGGCUAAUCAAGCUCGGAGAUAGCUGGUUCUCCUCGAAAGCUAUUUAGGUAGCGCCUCAUGUAUCACUCUGGGGGGUAGAGCACUGUUUCGGCUAGGGGGUCAUCCCGACUUACCAAACCGAUGCAAACUCCGAAUACCCAGAAGUGCCGAGCAUGGGAGACACACGGCGGGUGCUAACGUCCGUCGUGAAAAGGGAAACAACCCAGACCGCCAGCUAAGGUCCCAAAGUUGUGGUUAAGUGGUAAACGAUGUGGGAAGGCUUAGACAGCUAGGAGGUUGGCUUAGAAGCAGCCACCCUUUAAAGAAAGCGUAAUAGCUCACUAGUCGAGUCGGCCUGCGCGGAAGAUGUAACGGGGCUCAAACCACACACCGAAGCUGCGGGUGUCACGUAAGUGACGCGGUAGAGGAGCGUUCUGUAAGCCUGUGAAGGUGAGUUGAGAAGCUUGCUGGAGGUAUCAGAAGUGCGAAUGCUGACAUGAGUAACGACAAUGGGUGUGAAAAACACCCACGCCGAAAGACCAAGGGUUCCUGCGCAACGUUAAUCGACGCAGGGUUAGUCGGUUCCUAAGGCGAGGCUGAAAAGCGUAGUCGAUGGGAAACAGGUUAAUAUUCCUGUACUUCUGGUUACUGCGAUGGAGGGACGGAGAAGGCUAGGCCAGCUUGGCGUUGGUUGUCCAAGUUUAAGGUGGUAGGCUGAAAUCUUAGGUAAAUCCGGGGUUUCAAGGCCGAGAGCUGAUGACGAGUCGUCUUUUAGAUGACGAAGUGGUUGAUGCCAUGCUUCCAAGAAAAGCUUCUAAGCUUCAGGUAACCAGGAACCGUACCCCAAACCGACACAGGUGGUCGGGUAGAGAAUACCAAGGCGCUUGAGAGAACUCGGGUGAAGGAACUAGGCAAAAUGGCACCGUAACUUCGGGAGAAGGUGCGCCGGCUAGGGUGAAGGAUUUACUCCGUAAGCUCUGGCUGGUCGAAGAUACCAGGCCGCUGCGACUGUUUAUUAAAAACACAGCACUCUGCAAACACGAAAGUGGACGUAUAGGGUGUGACGCCUGCCCGGUGCCGGAAGGUUAAUUGAUGGGGUUAGCGCAAGCGAAGCUCUUGAUCGAAGCCCCGGUAAACGGCGGCCGUAACUAUAACGGUCCUAAGGUAGCGAAAUUCCUUGUCGGGUAAGUUCCGACCUGCACGAAUGGCGUAACGAUGGCGGCGCUGUCUCCACCCGAGACUCAGUGAAAUUGAAAUCGCUGUGAAGAUGCAGUGUAUCCGCGGCUAGACGGAAAGACCCCGUGAACCUUUACUGUAGCUUUGCACUGGACUUUGAGCCUGCUUGUGUAGGAUAGGUGGGAGGCUUUGAAGCGUGGACGCCAGUUCGCGUGGAGCCAUCCUUGAAAUACCACCCUGGCAUGCUUGAGGUUCUAACUCUGGUCCGUAAUCCGGAUCGAGGACAGUGUAUGGUGGGCAGUUUGACUGGGGCGGUCUCCUCCUAAAGAGUAACGGAGGAGUACGAAGGUGCGCUCAGACCGGUCGGAAAUCGGUCGUAGAGUAUAAAGGCAAAAGCGCGCUUGACUGCGAGACAGACACGUCGAGCAGGUACGAAAGUAGGUCUUAGUGAUCCGGUGGUUCUGUAUGGAAGGGCCAUCGCUCAACGGAUAAAAGGUACUCCGGGGAUAACAGGCUGAUACCGCCCAAGAGUUCAUAUCGACGGCGGUGUUUGGCACCUCGAUGUCGGCUCAUCACAUCCUGGGGCUGAAGCCGGUCCCAAGGGUAUGGCUGUUCGCCAUUUAAAGUGGUACGCGAGCUGGGUUUAGAACGUCGUGAGACAGUUCGGUCCCUAUCUGCCGUGGACGUUUGAGAUUUGAGAGGGGCUGCUCCUAGUACGAGAGGACCGGAGUGGACGAACCUCUGGUGUUCCGGUUGUCACGCCAGUGGCAUUGCCGGGUAGCUAUGUUCGGAAAAGAUAACCGCUGAAAGCAUCUAAGCGGGAAACUUGCCUCAAGAUGAGAUCUCACUGGGAACUUGAUUCCCCUGAAGGGCCGUCGAAGACUACGACGUUGAUAGGCUGGGUGUGUAAGCGUUGUGAGGCGUUGAGCUAACCAGUACUAAUUGCCCGUGAGGCUUGACCAU